ensembl:lncRNA
AGAGCGCUGACACUGGAGACUCCUUCCAUGAAGGUUAAAUAAACAUUGAUAUGCCGUGGAUAUAUGAGAUGUAUACGAUCCAGACGAACCUCGACUCGUACGCACCCGUGCUUAACCUCCAGAGAGGAUAUGACUUCGCUCAGAGGAACCCUGGGAAAUACGGCGUACCUGGUGGAGGUAAAAGGGAGACCGACGCUGCGCUGCAGGAAUACUUACAGAGCGUUAAAUUCGUCAGAAGUGACGAACGCAUCCUCAUCAAAAUGUACCACCUCGGAUUUGUCGGUGAAAAUCACCGUGUUCUAACUGCUCGGAGGUCCGCUAACAACACCACUGGGACGCUCAAAACGAGCCACAUUCCACCCAAGGACUCCAUCAGACAAGCUCAGGCGUUCAUGGAAAGCUCAAACUCGAGUUCACACGUGAGCGAGUUUAAAAAGAAAAACCUGCAGCUUUAUAAUCUGAUCAGCAGCAUAAAGACUGACAGUGACGGACAGAACCUGAUUGCCAUGGAGGUUCUGGGACAGGAUCACAGACGAGCUUUAACUACGGGCCCAAGCAGGAUCUCCCAGAUGGCCAGGAAUCUUCUAGCAGACACUACGAUCAGUGGAGACGUAGAGCUUCUGCUGAAACGCUGCAUGAUCCUACACCACCCACUGACCUCAGAAAAGCUCAGAGUCGCUCUAGGUGAAGGCGUUCUGUCUCAGAGUCACGUGUUGUCCGAUGACGGUAUCCGAGGCUACUACAAAGCAGGAUACAGAAACCUGGUGUCGGAGUACAGCCGCAUGGGAAUCCUGGAUCAGAACCAGCGCGCGCGCCUGGACGAGUGGGUGACUCAGGACCGGCACGAGGACACUAACACUGCGGAGUACCGCCAGCUUCAGCAGGGAUUACGCGAAAAAGCAGACGGAGAACGUGUCUAGUGUUAAUGAGCACCUCAUGAUGAUGAUGAUGAUGAUGAUGAUGAUGAUGAUGAUGGUUAUAGGAAGUAGGAAAUGAUUGAUCUCGGCCUCUGAAAUCGUUUUCACUGCAAACAAUCACAUUUUAGCAAGAUAUCUUGUUCUGUUGGUAGAUCAUUUUAAGCACUUAUAUCUAUGAAAGAGCGAUAGAACAAGAGCAUUUAAAACGCAAAAACAAGUAAAAAGUGUCUAGAAAUGACAUUUUCAAUAAAAAUUUGCUUACAUUAUAUACAUUAUAUACAUAAUACAGAACUGCAAUGUGGUAAAUGACUUUUUUGUGAUUUUAUUUGUAGUUAAAUCAGUACGCUUGACAAUAAUGUUCUAACGUGUGUGUUUAGUGUUUAAAAGUGAGGGGGGGGGGGGUCAGUGUAUUAAAGGGUUAUUACACAAAGCAGGAAAGCAGGAACUGAAUUACAGACAUAAGAACGAUGUCGGGCUGUGAUUAAAGUUCAUAUAUAUAACAGGAACACGCCGAUAUUUCAGGCUUCUCUCUGAUUAAAAGGUAAAAUACACACUGUAAAAUCAUUUUGCUUAAAACUGGGUGCUAAUUUAUAAUCACAUAAGUCUAAAAUGAGGGAACUUUACGAUAAGAGUGGACGUUUUACACAGAUAUAUUGUCAAAUGUUUUGUUAUUAAUCUGAUUUACAGCGGUAACUGAUCUCAUUUCAUGGAAAUUGUGCCAAUAAAAUUUGACUAGUUUACUUUUGGUGCUCGUUUUAUUUCUUAAAAAUGAGAUGUAAAAACUAAGACAAACUGUCUGGACCAAUCAAAGGGCUGGAUAGGUUUGGACACACCCACUCAUUAUCAUAGGGGAUAAAUGACCAAACAUAGUGGAAUUGAUGAAAUGGACGG